UUGACGGGGCCGCACAAGCGAGGAACAUGUGGUUAAUUCGAUGAUACGCGAGGAACCUUACCUGGGCUUAAAUGCAGAGUGCAUGAGGUGGAACACUUCUCCCUUCGGGGCUCUUGCAAGGUGCUGCAUGGUUGUCGUCAGCUCGUGCCGUGAGGUGUCGGGUUAAGUCCCAUAACGAGCGCAACCCUUAUCGUUAGUUGCCAGCGGGUAAUGCCGGGAACUCUAGCGAAACUGCCGGUGUAAACCGAGAGGAAGGUGGGGAUGACGUCAAAUCAGCACGGCCCUUAUGUCCAGGGCUACACACGUGUUACAAUGGCCGGUACAGAGGGCAGCUACCUGGAGACAGGAUGCGAAUCUCCAAAGCCGGUCUCAGUUCGGAUCGGAGUCUGCAACUCGACUCCGUGAAGCUGGAUUCGCUAGUAAUCGCGCAUCAGCCAUGGCGCGGUGAAUACGUUCCCGGGCCUUGUACACACCGCCCGUCAAGCCAUGGAAGUUGGGGG
rnacentral:rRNA from 1 species